rnacentral:tRNA from 1 species
GUGGAUGUAGCUCAGCUGGUUAGAGCACUGGAUUGUGAUUCCAGGGGUCGCGGGUUCAAGUCCCGUCUUCCACCCCA